UCCAGAGGGUGGACAUCUAGGAAUAUUCAAAACCAGGAAUGCGCUGACAUCAAAAUACUAUUGGCCAGGGAUGACAAAAGACAUUGCCAAUUGGGUUGCACAGUGUCUGACUUGCCAGAAAGAGGGAAAGCAAUCAAAGCUGGAUACCACCUUGAAAAGCAUAGAGGUCACUCGGAUCUGGGAAUUGGUGGGAAUGGAUUUAAUAGGACCGUUUCCAGUAACAAAGAAUGGAUACCAGUACAUAGUUACAGCCAUAGAUUAUCUUUCAAGAUGGGUGGAAGCCUUUCCACUUAGAAAUAAGUCGUCAUCUGAGGUGGUAGAGAUCACGUUCACCAUGAUUCUUCGACGUGGAUGCCCACAGUGGAUACUGACAGAUCGUGGUGCAGAAUUCAAUAAUACGGUAAUGAUUUCUUUUUUUCUGGUUAUUUGUACUUUUUAUUCAAAGUCACUGUCAGGUCACCCAUAGAUCUCAAACAACCACCAUCUUUUCUUUUUAUAUAUAUAAACUGCUGUUGGUCCCCAUCAGUGUUGCUAUAAAAUUAUUUUUCUUCAUAUCUAACAAAGAAACGAACAAGUACUUGUUUCCAAAACAAAUAUGAGAAGACAUGC